rnacentral:rRNA from 1 species
UACGUAGGGGGCUAGCGUUAUCCGGAAUUAUUGGGCGUAAAGGGUGCGUAGGCGGUCCUACAAGUCAGAGGUGAAAGGCUACGGCUCAACCGUAGUAAGCCUUUGAAACUGUAGGACUUGAGUGCAGGAGAGGAGAGUGGAAUUCCCAGUGUAGCGGUGAAAUGCGUAGAUAUUGGGAGGAACACCAGUGGCGAAGGCGGCUACCUGGACCGGUUCUGACGCUGAGGCGCGAAAGCGUGGGUAGCAAACAGG